GAUGAACGCUGGCGGCGUGCCUAAUACAUGCAAGUCGAGCGAACAGAUGAGGAGCUUGCUCCUCUGACGUUAGCGGCGGACGGGUGAGUAACACGUGGAUAACCUACCUAUAAGACUGGGAUAACUUCGGGAAACCGGAGCUAAUACCGGAUAAUAUAUUGAACCGCAUGGUUCAAUAGUGAAAGACGGUUUUGCUGUCACUUAUAGAUGGAUCCGCGCCGCAUUAGCUAGUUGGUAAGGUAACGGCUUACCAAGGCAACGAUGCGUAGCCGACCUGAGAGGGUGAUCGGCCACACUGGAACUGAGACACGGUCCAGACUCCUACGGGAGGCAGCAGUAGGGAAUCUUCCGCAAUGGGCGAAAGCUUGACGGAGCAACGCCGCGUGAGUGAUGAAGGUCUUCGGAUCGUAAAACUCUGUUAUUAGGGAAGAACAAAUGUGUAAGUAACUAUGCACGUCUUGACGGUACCUAAUCAGAAAGCCGCGGCUAACUACGUG
rnacentral:rRNA from 1 species